rnacentral:SRP_RNA from 1 species
GCCGGGCGCGGUGGCUCACGCCUGUAAUCCCAGCACUUUGGGAGGCUGAGACGGGCAGAUCACGAAGUCAGGAGACUGAGACCAUCCUGGCUAAGACGGCGAAACCCCGCCUCUACUAAAAAUACAAAAAAUUAGCCGGGCNNNNNNNNNNGCCCGGCUAAUUUUUUGUAUUUUUUUAGUAGAGACGGGGUUUCACCGUGUUAGCCAGGAUGGUCUCGAUCUCCUGACCUCGUGAUCUGCCCGCCUCGG